rnacentral:tRNA from 1 species
GGUCUUAUGGCUCAGAUGGUAAAGAGCCUGCCUGCAAUGCAGGAGACAGGGGUUCAAUCCCUUCAAUCUUG